UGGGCGUUUGGUUCCCUGCAGCUCAUGGCCUGGCCCUCCCUCCCAGACCAGCUCUGUUGCAAAGGAAAAUACAUCAUUCAUCUUCUCAGGAUCUUGCCCAUGGCCCCCUUUUCCUUUUUCCAUCCCAGGAAUUCAGUCAAGGGAAAAGGAACUCUCUACAAGAAAAUCUGGGCUUAGACUUUCUCUGUGUGACUCUGUUGAAUGUCUCUCUGGGCCUGAAGAACAUGGCUUUCUGUGCCCCCACAAAACAAGAGGAUCAGGAGCCUGAGGUCCCUCCUGAUUACAUGACUAAUGGAAACGGUGCUGGCUGGAAGGACUCCCUCAGGAGCAAGCCUGCAGAUGCCCUCUUGAAGAACAGCAAGUGGGGAUGCUUCUCAUCUCUGAGCCUCUGUUUCCCCUGCGUGCCGAUGGGCAUGGUAUAAUUCUACCAGGAAGAACUUCCCAGGAGAGAGAUGGCCAGAGUCCUAUGAAGUUCCUAGGAAGAAAGGGGCAGCGUGACUGCAGAACUCAAAUCCUCCUCUGUCAGCUCCUCAGGUCUGUACAUGGAUACUGACUCAGGGUGUCAAGUUCUAGCUGAUACGGUUUCUAUCCCAUACCAUGCCCCAGACCUGACCUUCAGGCCGACCCAGGACUGUGGGAAGCCAUGGAGCAUGCUAUGACUACCGUGCCUACAUAAAAAGGAAUGGGGGUGGGGUGGGGAAUAAAGCAAAAUAAAACAGAGUCACUCUGCCACGUUUCAGGUUACACCCA